rnacentral:rRNA from 1 species
AGCUCCAAUAGCGUAUAUUAAAGUUGUUGCAGUUAAAAAGCUCGUAGUUGGAUCUCGGAACCGGCCGAUUGGUCCGUCCUCUGGAUCGUGUACUGAUCGGUCUGUUCUUCUUCGCGAAGACCGCGUGUGCCCUUAACUGGGUGGGCGCGGGAUUCGCGACGUUUACUUUGAAAAAAUUAGAGUGUUCAAAGCAGGCAGUCGCUUGAAUAUCUCAGCAUGGAAUAAUAGAAUAGGACUUUGGUCUUAUUUUGUUGGUUUCCGAGACCGAAGUAAUGAUUAAUAGGGACAGUUGGGGGCAUUCGUAUUUCAUUGUCAGAGGUGAAAUUCUUGGAUUUAUGAAAGACGAACUUCUGCGAAAGCAUUUGCCAAGGAUGUUUUCA